rnacentral:rRNA from 1 species
GGGUCAGUAGGUUGGUCGUGCCACCGGUACGUACUGGUCUCACUGAUUCCUCCUUCCUGAAGAACCGUAAUGCCAUUAAUUUGGUGUUGCGGGGAAACAGGACUGUUACUUUGAAAAAAUUCGAGUGUUUAACGCAAGAUAACGCUUGAAUACAUUAGCAUGGAAUAAUGAAAUAGGACGAUCGAUCCUAUUUUGUUGGUUUCUAGGAUUGACGUA